ACAUGCCUACACCAGAGAGAUAAUGUAUCGGAUCCCAUUGGAACUCCAUAGUUAAGCGCGCUCAUGCUAGAGUAGUACUGGGAUGGGUGAUCUCCCGGGAAGUUUUAGUGUUUUACAUGCC
rnacentral:rRNA from 1 species